rnacentral:rRNA from 1 species
GUUGUAUGGUUAAGUGACUAAGCGUACACGGUGGAUGCCUUGGCAGUUGGAGGCGAUGAAGGACGUACUAACUUGCGAUAAGCCUAGUUGAGCCAGUAAGAGGCGCUUGAGACUAGGAUUUCCGAAUGGGGAAACCCACCUGCUUGCAGGUAUCAUAUGGUGAAUACAUAGCCAUAUGAGGCGAACGCGGAGAACUGAAACAUCUAAGUACCCGUAGGAAAAGAAAUCAACCGAGAUUCCGAAAGUAGCGGCGAGCGAAAUCGGACCAGCCCUUAAGCUUUAGUGUAGUUAGUGGAACAUUCUGGAAAGUUUGACGACACAGGGUGAUAGUCCCGUACACAAAAACUUAUCUAAAGUGAAAUCGAGUAGGUCGGAGCACGUGAAACUUUGACUGAAUAUAGGUGGACCAUCAUCUAAGGCUAAAUACUCCCAACUGACCGAUAGUGAACCAGUACCGUGAGGGAAAGGCGAAAAGAACCCCUGUGAGGGGAGUGAAAUAGAACCUGAAACCGUGUACGUACAAGCAGUAGGAGCCCACUUGUUGGGUGACUGCGUACCUUUUGUAUAAUGGGUCAGCGACUUAUAUUUUGUAGCGAGGUUAACCGCAUAGGGUAGCCGUAGCGAAAGCGAGUCUUAACUGGGCGCUUAGUUGCAAGGUAUAGACCCGAAACCCGGUGAUCUAGCCAUGGGCAGGUUGAAGGUUGAGUAACAUCAACUGGAGGACCGAACCCACUAACGUUGAAAAGUUAGGGGAUGACCUGUGGCUAGGAGUGAAAGGCUAAUCAAACCGGGAGAUAGCUGGUUCUCCCCGAAAUCUAUUUAGGUAGAGCCUCGGACGAAUACUUACGGGGGUAGAGCACUGUUAAGGCUAGGGGGUCAUCCCGACUUACCAACCCUUUGCAAACUCCGAAUACCGUAAAGUAAUAUCCGGGAGACACACGGCGGGUGCUAACGUCCGUCGUGAAGAGGGAAACAACCCAGACCGCCAGCUAAGGUCCCAAAGUGUAUGUUAAGUGGGAAACGAUGUGGGAAGGCUAAAACAGCUAGGAGGUUGGCUUAGAAGCAGCCACCCUUUAAAGAAAGCGUAAUAGCUCACUAGUCGAGUCGGCCUGCGCGGAAGAUGUAACGGGGCUAAACAUACCACCGAAGCUGCGGCUGCGAACUUAGUUCGCGGGGUAGGGGAGCGUUCUGUAAGCGGUUGAAGGUGUACCGGGAGGUAUGCUGGACGUAUCAGAAGUGCGAAUGCUGACAUGAGUAACGACAAUGCGGGUGAAAAACCCGCACGCCGGAAGACCAAGGGUUCCUAUCCCAUGUUAAUCAGGGUAGGGUAAGUCGACCCCUAAGGCGAGGCUGAAGAGCGUAGUCGAUGGGAAACGGGUUAAUAUUCCCGUACUUGGAAUAAUUGCGAUGGGGGGACGGAGCAGGCUAAGUAAGCAUGGCGUUGGUUGUCCAUGUGAAAGUGAGUAGGCUGAGAACUUAGGAAAAUCCGGGUUCUUAAGGCUGAGACACGAGACGAGCCACUACGGUGGUGAAGUUACUGAUGCCCUACUUCCAGGAAAAGCCUCUAAGCUUCAGAUUAUUUCGAAUCGUACCCCAAACCGACACAGGUGGUCAGGUAGAGAAUACUAAGGCGCUUGAGAGAACUCGGGUGAAGGAACUAGGCAAAAUUGUACCGUAACUUCGGGAGAAGGUACGCUGACAUUAGGUGAA